rnacentral:piRNA from 1 species
UGGAUGACCUGAAACUCACAUGGACAGG